rnacentral:misc_RNA from 1 species
GGGCUGCACUUCAUGCUUCAGACCUCUUCAGUUGUGCGGCAAGGCUUGUAUCGCCUUGAGCGUAUUUGUGGGUUUUCUGUGUUGACUACCUAAUCAAUGGAAUUGGUUGGAUUGAUCAAUGUUUCAUUUCGUCUAUCAUCGCAUUCGCGGCGUGAGAUGAACCUUGAUGCGGUCUCUUUGAUCCACCUCGUCGAAGCACAUGCUUUGACGUUGUGGCACAUUGAGCAUUGCUUGGUCUCUUGUAUACGGAACAUAUAGUGGGCAUGGAUCUAACGAUUCUCGUUUGCCCUCAUAUUAGCGUAACGCUUCUCUUACACGACUUGCUCCACGUUUUAGCUCGUACGGACGUGGUGCUAUGUCGAAGAGGAAUGCUACCUGGUUGAUCCUGCCAGUAGUCAUAUGCUUGUCUCAAAGAUUAAGCCAUGCUUGGUGUAAGUA